GACGUAGGGUCCGAGCGUUGUCCGGAGUUACUGGGCGUAAAGGGCGCGUAGGCGGUUAUCUGCGUCACACGUGAAAGCCCCUGGCUCAACCAGGGAGGGUCGUGUGAAACGGGGUAACUGGAGGCAGAGAGAGGCUGGUGGAAUUCCCGGAGUAGUGGUGAAAUGCGCAGAUAUCGGGAAGAACACCCGUGGCGAAGGCGGUUCUCUGGGACGGUACUGACGCUGAGACGCGAAAGCGUGGGGAGCGAACAGG
rnacentral:rRNA from 1 species